UAACGUAACCAUAAUCUUAAGGGAAUAGAAAACGAGGAUUCUCUGUCAUGUAAAAUUGUAUUUCUGUGUUAUAUGUUAUGUCAUCGUCACCUCUUCUGAUUUAAUGUUCUUGAUUUGAGUCUAUCCUCUUCCUUUAGUGGUCUUGACCGGAUGAAAAGACAGGAUAGGUUGACCUGCUUGUGAGAUUACUCUCAGGACACUCAGUUUCUCUUUGCUCAUGUGCAGGCCUUCUGACCUUCAAUGCUUGGAUAAGAGUUGUGAGGAAGCAGCAUUCUAGCAUACCCCUAUCUAUGUUGACAAAACUUGGCCUCCGCCUUCUCAUACAUCAUAGCUUACUGUAUUUUCAUUGCUUAUAUAUUCUGUUCUGUCGCUCAGUCCUUGGAGCAGCUGUUUGGAAUAAACCAGAUUUGAUUUCACUCGUGUGGUUUGUUCUCUCAGUGCUCCGGAGCUCCUAUUGUUUUGCAGAGCUAAAGGGACGCAGACAAGUGCGAGGAGGAAUCUCUCUUACAGUUUGGUGACCCCGACGUGAUACUCUCGAUCAGGUAAGACAUAUUUGAUUGACUACCUGGUCGGCAGUAUUACUAGGAAGAAGUUAUCCCAUUUUGACGGGAUAUUUAUCCUUGGCUUCGUUUGAGAAGGCCAAGAAGGUUAUCCUUAGUUUUGGCAGGAAAAACUAAGCAGAGUGCACUAUAUAUAUAUAUAUAAUUUCCUCUCUUGACUUAUCCGUGCCUCUUUUCUUUGCCUGUUGUAAUAUUUUGUUUGUUCAUAAUGGGGAACUCGUAUCCCAAGCCUAUGCCUGGUGAAACACCCUAUGAUUGGAUGACACGAUGUGGUUUAGGAUAUUAUGCACAACCAUUUGUUGAGAAUUUGGCUGGCUGGACUGAGGCCAAUCCUCAGAUUCCACCUUACCCACGUGAUGGUACAUUUGAUCUUGGUUAUUUAGCCUCCGCAUACCGCAUGAUUUUUGAGGGUAUGGGAGAUCCACAGUGGGAGUGUUGAACCGCCACCUUACUCUAAAGAAAAAAAAGGUCCCGUUGGCCUCUAAUCGGCCUACCUUGCCAGAUAACCAUUACAUUGUAGAUAUGCUAAUUAAGAGUUCUCGUAACUGUCAGCUUACAGGAGCAGAUUAUCGAGUUAUUCUUCAGAAUAAAUUAGGCGACCAGUAUGAUUAAGAGAAACUAAUUGAACAAGUUCCUGUGUUAAAACCUGAUUAAGUAGUAAAUAUAACAAAAAAAAAAGGAGGAAGAAAAAGAACUCAAACUCGAGUUGUUUCCACAUAUUUUUGUAAGGAUAAUAAAGAUGCUUUAGACCAAUUGUGUCGGCAGCUCACUAAAUAUCUGCUUAAUAUUAAACAUGCUAAUCGUGAUCUCUCUCAGGUUACUAACUGUAAGCAGGAAAAGGGAGAGUCCACCUCUGUUUUUGACUCGAUUUAGCCAGGUGUGGCAACAUUUAGGAGGAAUGGUGCUUGAGCUUUAACCUCCUUGGCCGUGAUCUUGUGAGUCUUCUGGGACUCUAUAGUUUUUAGAGGUUCCCACAUGACUGUACAAACUCUCGAAACCUCUGUUCCAGAUAUUCUCGCUCUCUCUGACUGUGUACUUCCACAUAACGCUGCUGCAGUUAACGCUAUCUGUUCUCUCCCGCUCUAGAGUCUGUUCCUUCUUUGUGGGCGGAACACAAGGAUGACAUGGUCUGCGUUUCCUGUCCUCCUUAUGAGGCCAGAAUUAAACACCUUACACCUGUGUAUAUUAAACAGUAUCCUCUGUCUCAUGAGAAAGCCGCUGGAAUUGACAUUCUUCAUUCUCUUUUACAGCAGGGGGUGGUGAUGCCAUGUUAGCCCAUACAAUACUCCUGUCAAUCCUGUUCCAAAACCAGAUGGCUCUUGGAGAUUUACCCAAGAUCUGAGAAAGAUAAACUGAUUAUUCCUGUUGCUCCAAUUGUCCCUGAUGUAUCCUCAAUUAUAGCCUCUAUUCCAUGUACACAGAGUAUUUUCUGUGAUUGACCUUUGUUCUGCUUUCUUUAGUGUUCCUGUAGGGAAGGACACACAGCCACUCUUUGCCUUCACACACAGGGGACAGCAGUAUACGUGGACCAGGUUGCCACAGGGUUACAUCAAUUCCCCCACGGUCUUUGGCCGCAUCUGGCAAUCUCGUGGCUUCACUGCAGCUGACGGCAAGCCUAUCUCCCGUGCCUCGUUAGUGCAGGAUUUAAAUCACCGCCUGUCAUGUGCCUCGUUCUGUGGCCAUUGUUAAAACUAGGGCGCAUUCCUCUGGUGACACCGAUUAAGUGAGCGGGAACAGUUUCGCUGACCGAAUGGCUAAACAGGCUGCGGCUUCACGCCCACUUCCCCCAAAUCUAUCUCCAGCCAUGGUCUCUGUUAAUACCAUGAUCAGUGCUGUUCUUCCUGACAUGGAUCUCCCUUCGCUGCAGGCUUCAGCUUCACCUGCUGACCGCGAAUUUUGGACUAGUCAGCGUGCGACUGAUUCCUAUGUUAUUCUAGAUAACAAGGGCCGUGUCUGCCUACCACGACAUUGUACUCCUUUUCCCGUCCGCGAGUUUCAUGGCCCCACUCACCGCGGACGAAGAGGGGUGUCACAGGACUUAUCUGAUUUUUUUUUUGUAUUUUCCGCUUACACACAGACGUGAAUAGAAUAUUAGACGGAUGUUUAAUAUGCGCACAGAAUAACAUUUUAAAAUCAGGUGCCACACAUCAACACCUUCCCACGCCUGACACUCCCUUUCAAGAAUGGCAGAUCGAUUUCACACACAUGCCUAGGCAGGGUCCUUUCAGGUACCUUUUGGGAAUGGUUGAUAAGUUCUCCAGAUGGGUAGAAGCCUUCCCAUGUAGUAAGGAAAAUGCUAGAGUGGUGCUAGAAAAUGCUAGAGUGCCAUUCCUAGGUAUGGCAUCCCUGUAGGAAUUGAUUCUGACAAGGGAACUCCAUUUACAUCUAAAGUCACUCAGCUUCUGUGUAAAGAGUUAAAGAUCAAUUGGCAUUUCCACAUUCCUUACCAUCCACAGUCAUCAGGUAUGGCGGAGCGAGCCAAUCGCACAAUAAAAGACAAAAUUCGUAAAGCAAUGCACACGUCCGGUUCCAAAAAUUGGCUACACGCACUGCCACACGUCUUAGCAGAUAUGAGAAUGACCGCACAAGUGGCUUUGGAUCACCUGUCUCCCUAUGAGCUCGUGAUGGGGAGACCAUUUCCCCACCCUUGGCGAAGAGGCAAACAGGCAUUGGGAACGGGGGAUCUUGAUGUACACCUCAGCGAGUACUCUGCAGGGUUAAUUCAGAAGCUCAACGAAUAUUGGGCACGGGUAAAUUCAAAACAACCCCAAAUUCCAAUUGGCAAUACACACCCUUUUAAGCUGGGAGAUCGUGUCUUGGUCAGAAAUUUGGAAAAAUUAGGCACGCCUUUGGGUGAGACCCCGUAUAGUGGACCUGCAGAAAUAGUCGCUGCGACUCGCACUGCUGUGUUAACCGAUCUUUUUCCACAGUGGAUCCACGCCUCCCGUCUAAAACCAGGCACGGGUUUGAAAGAAGAAUCAUAAGUGAAAAGUCUGUCUAAACAGUGUUUGUGUUUCAGAAAUUUGAAGCAACAGCUGACUACCUUUUCAGGGGUCCCUCUUCCCAGCAUCCAAAUAGAAGGAUCGGCUGAUCUAAGAAGAGGGGGCAGUCGGUGAGCUCCAGGUGACGACACGCAUCUCUCUGCAAAAGGCUGACAUCAUUGAGCGAAACGGCGUGGUGACCCCGCAGACUCUGUGCUGCCUGUUCGGACAUCUGCCACGGUGCAAACAGUGCACGAGGAAGCUGUUGGGGACAGAAAGACAACCUCUUCUUGGACCCGGAAACACAGCCAGUGACCAGUAUGGCUGUUCUACUUCUACUACUGCUCGUCGCGCUUGGGACAGGGAUUCCCGUCCAAGCUCAUCCACGAUAAUACCUUCUGGCAGUUCGCGAAUUGGACAGCUCGACAGCAUACUGACGAGUCAUGCUACGUGUGUCAAGUCUUCCCAACAUCAACAACACUAUACAAGACACUCUCACUGCCAUGGCCUAUGUCUGUAUUUCUGAUGUUUGUAUCGCUUCUAAUGCCUCUAAAAAUAUGAUGAAUAAUGUGCAUGAAGAAUUUCUUAACUACACCGGUUCUCGCGGGUGUGGGAAUAGCACAGAUAAAUCUGUUUGUAUUCAUGCCCUGCGUAACACCCUAAAAAUGUAUCUCAGAAAGAAUGCCUUUCUUAGCACUUUCCAAGCCCUCCAUGGCCCGAAUCAUCAGUAUAGUGUGUGUAUGUGUGUUAAGAGGGAGGGGGUCGUAUUUCUAGGAAAUUUAACAGAUAAAGAUUGUAAUGCCACUUAUGUUGCCUGCCCCCUGGGAUCACAUAACUCCACUAGUUGCGCUAUAAUACACCCCGGUAUAGAUGGCACCACCUGGAAACACGAUUGGUAUUGAGUUUGUGGGAAAUGUGUGUGUUUAUUUUUACCUAGCGAGUGGGGAGGGGUAUGUGCUUACACCCAGUUUUCUUCACAGAUGUCCUUAUUUCAUCAGGGUCCAUCUCGUAGUAUUCGCCUUAAAAGAGCCACCAGUGAUCUCCCUUUCCCCCCCCUUGAACAUCGAUUACAAUCUAAGUUCACUACAUUCUGGCAAGCUCUUAUUCCCCAGUAUGGUGUAACCCAACUCUGGAAUCAGCUAGAAGUCACUCAUUAUCGCUUGGCUACUUUCGUCAAUGAAACCUUGCUGGCUAUACAAGGUGUCUGGUCUGAGCUCACCGUUCUCCGCCUGACGGCCAUACAAACCCGAAUGGCUCUGGAUUCGUUCCUGGCUGAGAAGGGUGGUGUGUGUAGUAGUGGGUGAUAGUUGUUGUACAUUUGUUCCUGCUGAGAAUGAUGAGCAUGGGGAAAUAGGUCAGGCUGUUGAAAAAAAAUGCGUCAAACCGCUCAUGCUAUUCGCGAGGAUGAAAAGGGAGAUCGGACUGGGUGGAGACUGUGGUAUGUUUUAUUUGGUCAAUGGACCCCUUAUCUUUCUAUGAUCAUCCCUGUCCACAUGAUCAUGUUGCUGUUAUUUCUUUUUGGACCAUGUAUUUUCCGAUGUAUUAUGAACCGCGUAUGGGCCUUAGCCUCCGCCCUCCAGGAGCCUCAUUGUGCACGUUAAACCCCAAACGACAAGAAAUAGUGUUUGCAUUUGUAAUUAUACAUCAUUAUUAUUCAGUAUAAAAGAGGGGACUGUUGAAAUGAAUUUUCUUUAUGGUAAUUAAUUUUUGUGCUUAUUUCAUUUUCUUUCUACAUUUCUCUUUCUAUGUCGGAAUGAAUGUGUUCUUCCCCCCCAGGAAUCUCUUACAUAUGGGCAGAAGCGGGUGGAAAGGAAACCAUUGUAUAUCAGUUAAUAAAAGCUGAUAUAUUAAACAGGGACCAGGGUGUUCUGAUUCAGCCCGGACUUUGGCCACGUGCAUGUUUGUUAUUGUUCCUCGUCACGCGUUUGCCCUGCCCUGUUUCCACGCCUGCUCCUAAUUUGUAUCGGAUUGUCUUGUGUAUAAAUGUGAGCCGCGUUGCCGAUGGCAGCGAGAAAUCUAGUGUUGUCUUUGUCCUGUCUCGUGGUCCCCUUUAUUAAACCCUGUUUUGUUUUACUAUCCUGCGUUUGGGUCCGCUUCCUGCCCCGCAUCAUGACACAGGGAUAUUCAUCUUCCCUUUGGUCAGAUGUUUCCAUAACAUUAUUUGGCGAGGACACGAGUCAAAAUCGGCACUGAUUGUGGGUCAUAUGGACUAAAAACAGAAAUGGUGUUAGGGACCAACUAGCCCUGCACAGUCCAUAUGAACAAACACUGGAGCCAGGAGACAUUAUGCCAAAAGAAGGUGAGGACGAGAUGCACGUGGCUGGAUCUGCUGUCUUUUCUGUGGUUCCCUUAUGAGGGUUUUUUUUGAAGAGACAAAGGUACCGGGUCCAUAGCGGACCCGGGUUUCCAAAAAUUUUGGCCUAUCAGACCUUUGAUGAGGAUUGUUACGGGUCUAGGCCAGACAGCGGCCUGAGUGACGUGUCUGCGUCUGUGUGUUACCACAGUCCAUCCAUCUCUUUCUGGCAGGAACAUUUUUUUGUUUUUUAAUUUUUU